rnacentral:rRNA from 1 species
AUUGAACGCUGGCGGCAUGCCUUACACAUGCAAGUCGAACGGCAGCACGGGCUUCGGUCUGGUGGCGAGUGGCGAACGGGUGAGUAAUGUAUCGGAACGUACCUUUCAGUGGGGGAUAACGUAGCGAAAGUUACGCUAAUACCGCAUAUUCUGUGAGCAGGAAAGCAGGGGAUCGCAAGACCUUGCGCUGAUUGAGCGGCCGAUAUCAGAUUAGCUAGUUGGUGAGGUAAAGGCUCACCAAGGCGACGAUCUGUAGCGGGUCUGAGAGGAUGAUCCGCCACACUGGAACUGAGACACGGUCCAGACUCCUACGGGAGGCAGCAGUGGGGAAUUUUGGACAAUGGGGGCAACCCUGAUCCAGCCAUGCCGCGUGAGUGAAGAAGGUCUUCGGGUUGUAAAGCUCUUUCGGCCGGGAAGAAAUCGCAUGGGUUAAUACCCUGUGCGGAUGACGGUACCGGCAUAAGAAGCACCGGCUAACUACGUGCCAGCAGCCGCCGUAAUAC